CUCUCCACCCACGUGCCUCUGUCCAACAUUCCGGUCGCUGCCACCGGAGCUGUCCUGACCUCAGAGUUUUAGGGACCUGCUUAGCCUCCCCUUCCUGACUUCUGAGCCCACUAGACCCUCAACGGCUGAGCAUUUCCUGAAGACAGACCCUGAAGCUGCAGAGAGAAUCCGAGGUGCCUCCAGAACAGGACCGUCCCUGGGGUCUGCUGCCAGCUGGGGGGGGACAAGGACCAAGAGAUU
rnacentral:lncRNA from 1 species